rnacentral:tRNA from 1 species
UAGCUUAGUUGGUAAAGCGCUCGUCUAGCAUACAAGAGUCCUGGGUUCAAAUCCAGG